GACGAACGCUGGCGGCGUGCUUAACACAUGCAAGUCGAACGGAAAGGCCCAGCUUUCUGUGUGCUCGCGUGGCGAACGGGCGAGUAACACGUGGGUGAUCUGCCCCUAUCUUCGGGAUAAGCUUGGGCAACUGGGUCUAGUACCGGAUAGGACAAUCGUUUAAUGGCGGGUGUGGAUAGUUUUUUCGGGUUGUGAUGAGACCGCUGCUUAUCAGCUUGUUGGUGAGGUAAUGGCCUACGAAGGCGGCGACGGGUAGCCGGCCUGAGAGGGUGGACGGCCACAUUGGGACUGAGGUACGGACCAGAAGCCUACGGGAGGCAGCAGUGGGGAAUAUUGCGCAAUGAGCGCAAGCCUGAUGCAGAGACGCUGCGUGGGUGAUGACGGCCUUCUGGUUGUAAACCUCUUUCGACAGGGACGAAGCCUUCGUGACGGUACCUAUAUAAAAAGCCCCGGCUAACUACGUG
rnacentral:rRNA from 1 species